GACGAACGCUGGCGGCGUGCUUAACACAUGCAAGUCGAACGGAAAGGCCCUGCUUUUGUGGGGUGCUCGAGUGGCGAACGGGUGAGUAACACGUGAGUAACCUGCCCUUGACUUUGGGAUAACUUCAGGAAACUGGGGCUAAUACCGGAUAGGAGCUCCUGCUGCAUGGUGGGGGUUGGAAAGUUUCGGCGGUUGGGGAUGGACUCGCGGCUUAUCAGCUUGUUGGUGGGGUAGUGGCUUACCAAGGCUUUGACGGGUAGCCGGCCUGAGAGGGUGACCGGCCACAUUGGGACUGAGAUACGGCGCAGACUCCUACGGGAGGCAGCAGUGGGGAAUAUUGCACAAUGGGCGGAAGCCUGAGGCAGCAACGCCGCGUGCGGGAUGACGGCCUUCGGGUUGUAAACCGCUGUCGCCUGUGACGAAGCGUGAGUGACGGUAAUGGGUAAAGAAGCACCGGCUAACUACGUG
rnacentral:rRNA from 1 species